CAUACCAUUUGCAAAAGUAGACAACCAAAGGUAUUGCAAGUGGGGUAUGUCCAGUCUUUCUUAGUAGCCACUUAGUCACAAACACUGGCCAAAUAUUCGUUUUUUGCUUUUUUUAACACAAAAACAAAUAUGAACGCUAAAUUUGGCCAGUAUUUGUGACUAAAGACUAAACAUACCCCACACUCAAUACCUUGGGUUGUCUACUUUUUCAAAUGGUAUG
rnacentral:miRNA from 1 species